rnacentral:rRNA from 1 species
CAGUAGCCGCGGGAAUACAGAGGGUGCGAGCGUUAAUCGGAUUUACUGGGCGUAAAGCGUGCGUAGGCGGCUUUUUAAGUCGGAUGUGAAAUCCCUGAGCUUAACUUAGGAAUUGCAUUCGAUACUGGGAAGCUAGAGUAUGGGAGAGGAUGGUAGAAUUCCAGGUGUAGCGGUGAAAUGCGUAGAGAUCUGGAGGAAUACCGAUGGCGAAGGCAGCCAUCUGGCCUAAUACUGACGCUGAGGUACGAAAGCAUGGGGAGCAAACAGGAUUAGAUACCCGCGUAGUCCCUGUCUCUUAUAU